rnacentral:rRNA from 1 species
GACGAACGCUGGCGGCGUGCCUAAUACAUGCAAGUAGAACGCUGAAGGAGGAGCUUGCUUCUCUGGAUGAGUUGCGAACGGGUGAGUAACGCGUAGGUAACCUGCCUGGUAGCGGGGGAUAACUAUUGGAAACGAUAGCUAAUACCGCAUAAGAGUAGAUGUUGCAUGACAUUUGCUUGAAAGGUGCAAUUGCUUCACUACCAGAUGGACCUGCGUUGUAUUAGCUAGUUGGUGGGGUAACGGCUUACCAAGGCGACGAUACAUAGCCGACCUGAGAGGGUGAUCAGCCACACUGGGACUGAGACACGGCCCAGACACCUACGGGAGGCAGCAGUAGGGAAUCUUCGGCAAUGGACGGAAGUCGGACCGAGCAAAGCCGCGGGAGUGAAGAAGGUUAGCGGAUCGUAAAGCUCGGUUGUAAGAGAAGAACGAGAGUGAGAGUGGAAAGUUCACACUGUGACGGUAUCUUACCAGAAAGCGACGGCUAACUACGUG